rnacentral:rRNA from 1 species
UACGGAGGGAGCGAGCGUUGUUCGGAAUUACUGGGCGUAAAGGGUGCGCAGGCGGCUUUGCAAGUCGGGAGUGAAAUCCCUGGGCUUAACCCAGGAAUUGCUUUCGAAACUGCAAAGCUAGAGUCUCGGAGAGGUUAGCGGAAUUCCUAGUGUAGAGGUGAAAUUCGUAGAUAUUGGGAAGAACACCGGUGGCGAAGGCGGCGAGCUGGCCUGUACCUGAUGCUGAGGCGCGACAGCGUGGGGAGCAAACAGG